CUCAAAUAGAAUUUUACCAGGUGACUAUCACUUGGACUUGUCAUUUUCUAUUAUGGUAUCUUUACUUUGACUCAAGUAUGACAAUUGGGUACCACCACCAGACUUAUGUUUAUUUUUGACCGGAGAAUUACUUGUGAAUUAGUUUUGAUGCAUCCAUUGCAAAGACUUGCAUAAACAGCUCUUUGUGCUGGUAGUGUACAGCAGCUGCCAUUAUAUCAGCAGCCAAAGACCGGAAAUAGUCAUUCUCAGACACCCCCUCACAAGAGGCCUAUUCAGAUACUCCCUCUUUGCUCAUGUGUUCCAAGUCCCUGCCAGGCAAGGGUAGACGAUAACAAACUACAGGAUUCUUAACGUUUUGUUGACUUUUAUAGAUCACCUAAAAUGUUAUCCAGGAACUUUCUGAAGAAAUAUUAGGAUACAUGAUACGUUUAUUUGUUUGAACUUAAUUCCGUGUUGAUAUUGAAGUAGAUGUUUGAUUGCUCUGGUCUAGGGACGCAUCAUUUGCAGCCUUGGGAAUCUAAUUUUCUCUCCGCAACUCCCUUGUCAUUAUCUCUACACUACAACAAAGUAGUCUACUCUACUGUAGCCAACAAUUAUUCAUUCAAUACAAAGAAACAAUAGCUUACACAAUGGAUCGGUGUUCACAUUCCUUCACUGAUUUCGAACACAUUGUCCAUUAUUUGACCAGAUACUCAAGUGACCGUUCAAACAAAGAAAAUAAAUGUCUUCAACAAUGGAAGGCAAUCGAUAAAGAGGCAAGAUCAGGACAAAUCUAGGCCGUUCCCCUCCACCCUCCCAGAGUCCCCAGGUCGAUCGCCUCCCUGUACUUUACUGCUGGGUCUGGUUGACUGCAGGAAAACACCAGGGCAGAGUGGAACUGAGAGAGGAGAAGAGGAAUAUGGAGAUGUGAUUUCAUUAAGUAAGAACCAUGGCGUGUGGAUGAGACUACAGUCUGCUUCUGUAACAAUGAAUUCAUUAUAUAUUGAUGAAAAUAUCUGGUCGUUCCACCCAAUUUUAAAAAGUGUACCAAAAAAAAGUUUGAUUUCACAUCAUUUUAACAUUCUGUCAUAAAAAGCACAUGUUCAACUUAAUAAAAUACAUUUUGCCAUCUCAAGAGGUUUAAUGAAAUAUAAAUACUAUAGUAAGAGCCAAUGUGCCAAAUAAAGUUACAUGGUUGACCGUAACAUGGGACUACUGAAAACAACAAAAACCCUACAUUGGUAAAACGGUCCUUUAAAUCAGCCAUGAAUCUGCUUGUGACGGGGGGAAUGGAAGCUAGUAUUGUGCAACAGGAAGUAGUAAUUGAAUGCAGUCUUCACAUAAAAAGUUAUUGUUAAAACAUCUCUAUCAUGUCUGUGUCUGGAUAGAAGGGUUGAGAUGCUCAGUUUCCC